GUGCCAGCAGCCGCGGUAAUACGGAGGGUGCGAGCGUUAAUCGGAAUUACUGGGCGUAAAGCGCAUGCAGGUGGUUCAUUAAGUCAGAUGUGAAAGCCCGGGGCUCAACCUCGGAACUGCAUUUGAAACUGGUGAACUAGAGUACUGUAGAGGGGGGUAGAAUUUCAGGUGUAGCGGUGAAAUGCGUAGAGAUCUGAAGGAAUACCAGUGGCGAAGGCGGCCCCCUGGACAGAUACUGACACUCAGAUGCGAAAGCGUGGGGAGCAAACAGGAUUAGAUACCCUGGUAGUCC
rnacentral:rRNA from 1 species